UACGUAGGGGGCAAGCGUUGUCCGGAUUUAUUGGGCGUAAAGAGCGUGUAGGCGGUUUGGUAGGUCCGCUGUGAAAACUCGAGGCUCAACCUCGAGACGCCGGUGGAAACCAUCAGACUAGAGUCCGGAAGAGGAGAGUGGAAUUCCUGGUGUAGCGGUGAAAUGCGCAGAUAUCAGGAGGAACACCGAUGGCGAAGGCAGGUCUCUGGGCAGUAACUGACGCUGAGGAGCGAAAGCAUGGGGAGCGAACAGG
rnacentral:rRNA from 1 species